AUUGAACGCUGGCGGCAGGCCUAACACAUGCAAGUCGAGCGGAUGGAGGGAGCUUGCUCCUGGAUUCAGCGGCGGACGGGUGAGUAAUGCCUAGGAAUCUGCCUGGUAGUGGGGGAUAACGUCCGGAAACGGGCGCUAAUACCGCAUACGUCCUGAGGGAGAAAGUGGGGGAUCUUCGGACCUCACGCUAUCAGAUGAGCCUAGGUCGGAUUAGCUAGUUGGUGGGGUAAAGGCCUACCAAGGCGACGAUCCGUAACUGGUCUGAGAGGAUGAUCAGUCACACUGGAACUGAGACACGGUCCAGACUCCUACGGGAGGCAGCAGUGGGGAAUAUUGGACAAUGGGCGAAAGCCUGAUCCAGCCAUGCCGCGUGUGUGAAGAAGGUCUUCGGAUUGUAAAGCACUUUAAGUUGGGAGGAAGGGCAGUAAGUUAAUACCUUGCUGUUUUGACGUUACCAACAGAAUAAGCACCGGCUAACUUCGUU
rnacentral:rRNA from 1 species